UACGGAGGAUGCAAGCGUUAUCCGGAAUGAUUGGGCGUAAAGCGUCCGUAGGUGGUUUUGUAAGUCUGUGGUUAAAGCGUGGGGCUCAACCCCAUAAGGGCCAUGGAAACUACAUAACUUGAGUAAAGUAGGGGUAGAGGGAAUUCCCAGUGUUGCGGUGAAAUGCGUAGAGAUUGGGAAGAACACCGGUGGCGAAAGCGCUCUACUGGACUUAAACUGACACUGAGGGACGAAAGCUGGGGGAGCGAAAGGG
rnacentral:rRNA from 1 species